rnacentral:rRNA from 1 species
UACGUAGGGUGCAAGCGUUAAUCGGAAUUACUAGGCGUAAAGCGUGCGCAGGCGGUUAUGUAAGACAGGUGUGAAAUCCCCGGGCUUAACCUGGGAACCGCAUUUGUGACUGCAUAGCUAGAGUACGGUAGAGGGGGAUGGAAUUCCGCGUGUAGCAGUGAAAUGCGUAGAUAUGCGGAGGAACACCGAUGGCGAAGGCAGCCCCCUGGGCUAACACUGACGCUCGAGGCACGAAAGCGUGGGGAGCAAACAGG